AUGCUGGAGGAAGAGGAUGAGUUGGACAUCGAUGGGAAGCCAUUGUUCCAGGACGAGCUCGCCAACCAAGCCGCCGAGGGGAAGCCGAAGCGCAAGAGCAGGCGGACGAAGGCAUACACGACGGCCGAGGACAAGCUACUUUGUGAGUGUUGGAGGGACAUUGGGCAAGACCUGAAGAUCGGCGCCGAACAAAAGGCAUCAACGUUUUGGACUCGUGUCCAUCGCGAGUUCCAUGAGCGCAAGAAGUUUCUGCCGUACCAAAUGCAAAGCACGCGCGGGUGAGUGUCCAUUUCGAAGCGUUGGAAGAUGAUCCAACAAGAGUGCAACAAGUUUUGUGCCACUCUUGAGAUCAUUGAGGCAUGCCCCGUGAGUGGCAUCGGCAUGCAAGACAUGGUAUGCUAG
rnacentral:rRNA from 1 species